AUAAUUGUAUCUCUUAGAAAUAUAAUCGAGGCACAUGAAAACGGACUACUCAACCACUAUGACAUGGUCUUCUCCUUUAGUAUUUUGUAUUGUCAUAGGCACUGAUUUCUUGCUACCAUUUGUACUGAAUACUUUGACAGUGAAUGAAGAGUCCCUUUCAUCAUCAUAUAUGAAUAUCAAGAAAUAUCCAUUCUUUAGAGACUGAUAUUUUAUGAAAUCUUCCCAUCCUUUUCCAAUGAAAG
rnacentral:misc_RNA from 1 species